GACGAACGCUGGCGGCGUGCUUAACACAUGCAAGUCGAACGCUGAAGCUCAGCUUUUGUUGGGUGGAUGAGUGGCGAACGGGUGAGUAACACGUGAGUAACCUGCCCCCUUCUUUGGGAUAACGCCCGGAAACGGGUGCUAAUACUGGAUAUUCACUGGUCUUCGCAUGGGGGUUGGUGGAAAGGGUUUUUCUGGUGGGGGAUGGGCUCGCGGCCUAUCAGCUUGUUGGUGGGGUGAUGGCCUACCAAGGCUUUGACGGGUAGCCGGCCUGAGAGGGUGACCGGUCACAUUGGGACUGAGAUACGGCCCAGACUACUACGGGAGGCAGCAGUGGGGAAGAUGGCACAAUGGGCGCAAGACUGAUGCAGCGACGCCGCGUGAGGGAUGGAGGCCUUCGGGUUGUGAACCUCUUUCGCUCAUGGUCAAGCCGAAACAAUGGUUGUGGUGAGGGUAGUGGGUAAAGAAGCGCCGGCUAACUACGUG
rnacentral:rRNA from 1 species